AUAAGCGGUUGUCUCACACCCUUUGGCCUCCCUCGGAUUCUUCCGCCGUCCCCGAAGGCGGCCCUACAGCUGAAGGGUCGGCACGCCCGAGGAAGGAACGCGGACCUGGAGAGGCACCGCGGCCCGAAGCGCGUUCGUGCUUCCCUUGGUGCCGGGCUGUGGGCGCCCCGCGGGCUGCCCUCCUGAGGGACUCCUUCCCUCGAAGCUCCCGCGGAAGGCCUCCCGAUGAGUUAAAAUGGUGCUGAGGCUCGAGGGGAGCUGGUCGCUGCUCGUGGGGAAGAGGUUCCUGUGCCUGUCGGAGGAGGAGGACAGGUCGUGGGACGCCACCCGCAUCUCGGAAUGGCCCUGGAAGUCGGGCAGGAUCCGGGCAGUGUCACACACGGACAUAUCCAAACCAGACCUGAAGAUUUGUGUGGAAUUUGAUGAUGAGCCAUGGGAAAAACGAAGAUGGAUAGAAGUCUACAGCCAUACAAUGAUAGCAUUCCUGGUGGAGCAAAAGCUGGUGCUGGCUGAAAGAAAAUCCCAGUCCAUGCCUGCUGUCCAGUGGCCUGCAAUGGCAAGUACACGUUGGGU